rnacentral:rRNA from 1 species
GGCCUUGACAUGCUGAGAACUUUCCAGAGAUGGAUUGGUGCCUUCGGGAACUCAGACACAGGUGCUGCAUGGCUGUCGUCAGCUCGCGUCGUGAGAUGUUGGGUUAAGUCCCGUAACGAGCGCAACCCUUGUCCUUAGUCACCAGCACGUUGUCCAGGGCACUCUACGGAGACUGCCGGUGACAAACCGGAGGAAGGUGGGGAUGACGUCAAGUCAUCAUGGCCCUUACGGCCAGGGCUACACACGUGCUACAAUGGUCGGUACAAAGGGUUGCCAAGCCGCGAGAUGGAGCUAGUCCCAUAAAACCGAUCGUAGUCCGGAUCGCAGUUGCAACUCGACUGCGUGAAGUCGGAAUCGCUAGUA